rnacentral:rRNA from 1 species
UACGUAGGGUGCAAGCGUUAAUCGGAAUUACUGGGCGUAAAGCGUGCGCAGGCGGUCUUGCAAGACAGAUGUGAAAUCCCCGGGCUCAACCUGGGAACUGCAUUUGUGACUGCAAGGCUGGAGUACGGUAGAGGGGGAUGGAAUUCCGCGUGUAGCAGUGAAAUGCGUAGAUAUCAAGAGGAACACCAGUGGCGAAGGCGAGUCCCUGGACAACACCUGACACUGAGGCACGAAAGCUAGGGGAGCAAACAGG